AGCCGCCGCGGUAAUACGAAGGGGGCUAGCGUUGUUCGGAUUUACUGGGCGUAAAGGGCGCGUAGGCGGGCGAAUCAGUCAGGGGUGAAAUCCCAAGGCUCAACCUUGGAACUGCCUUUGAUACUGUUUGUCUUGAGUUCGAGAGAGGUAAGUGGAACUGCGAGUGUAGAGGUGAAAUUCGUAGAUAUUCGCAAGAACACCAGUGGCGAAGGCGGCUUACUGGCUCGAAACUGACGCUGAGGCGCGAAAGCGUGGGGAGCAAACAGGAUUAGAUACCCCUGUAGUCCCUGUCUCUUAUACA
rnacentral:rRNA from 1 species